GUCCUUUUGGUUUUAUUUAAGGUCUAACCUGCCCACUGAUUUAUUAAAUGGCCGCAGUAAUUUGACUGUGCAAAGGUAGCAUAAUCAUUAGUUUUUUAAUUAAAAGCUUGUAUGAAGGGUUGGACGAAGUAAAUUCUGUCUCUAUUUGAUUUAUAGUAGAAUUUAAUUUUUAAGUUAAAAAGCUUAAAUUUUUAUAAAAGACGAGAAGACCCCAUAGAUCUUUAUAUUUUUAUAAAUAAUUUUAAUUAAGAAUAUUUUAUUUUUUAUUUAUAAUAAUAUUUUAUUGGGGUAAUAAAGAGAUUUAAUUAAUUCUUUUUAAUAUAAAAUAUUAAUUAAUAAAUAUAUGAUCCAAUAAUUUUGAUUAUAAGAUUAAGUUACCUUGGGGAUAACAGCGUAAUUUUUUUAGAGAGUUCAUAUCGAUAAAAAAGUUUGCGACCUCGAUGUUGGAUUAAAAAUUAUUCUAGGUGCAGAAGUUUAGAAAUUUGGUCUGUUCGACCAUUAAAUUUUUACA
rnacentral:rRNA from 1 species